UUGGACUUUAUUUGCGCAGUAUAGGUGGGAGACGUUGAGAAUAUUCUUGCGGGAGUAUUGGAGUCAUCAGUGAGAUACCACUCUUGUAAUGUUAGAUUUCUAACUUUGUAUCAUUAUCUGGUCAAAGGACAGUUUCAGGCGGGCAGUUUGACUGGGGCGGUCGCCUCCUAAAGGGUAACGGAGGCGCACAAAGGUUUCCUCUGAACGUGUAGAAAUCGUAUCUAGAGUGUAAAGGCAUAAGGAAGCUUGACUGUGAGACCUACAAGUCGAGCAGGGACGAAAGUCGGUCUUAGUGAUCUGACGGUGCUGAGUGGAAAGGCCGUCACUCAACGGAUAAAAGUUA
rnacentral:rRNA from 1 species